AGCAGCCGCGGUAAUUCCAGCUCCAAUAGCGUAUAUUAAAGUUGUUGCAGUUAAAAAGCUCGUAGUUGAAUUUCGGGAUCAAUUAAUUGGUCGUGCCUCUGGUACGUACUGGUUUUAUUGGUUUCUCCCUUCUGACGAACCAUGAUGUCAUUAAUUUGGUGUCGUGGAGAAUCAGGACUGUUACUUUGAAAAAUUAGAGUGUUUAAAGCAAGCUAACGCUUGAAUACAUUAGCAUGGAAUAAUGAAAUAGGACGUUUGAUCCUAUUUUGUUGGUUUCUAGGAUCGACGUAAUGAUUAAUAGGGAUAGUUGGGGGCAUUAGUAUUCAAUUGUCAGAGGUGAAAUUCUUGGAUUUAUUGAAGACUAACUACUGCGAAAGCAUUUGCCAAGGAUGUUUUCAUUAAUCAAGAACGAAAGUUAGGGGAUCGAAGACGAUCAGAUACCGUCGUAGUCUUAACCAUAAACUAUGCCGACUAGGGAUCGGAUGAUGUUAAUUUUUUAAUGACUCAUUCGGCGCCUUAC
rnacentral:misc_RNA from 1 species